GACGAACGCUGGCGGCGCGCCUAACACAUGCAAGUCGAGCGAUGAAGACAUAACCGACGCCUUCGGGAAGAAGUUGAGUUGGAUUAGCGGCGGACGGGUGAGUAACACGUGAGUAACCUGCCUUUGACACGGGGAUAGCCACCGGAAACGGUGAUUAAUACCCGAUUGAAAUCGUAGUGACACAUGUCAAUAACGAUCAAAGUGAAUUAGCGGUCAAAGAUGGACUCGCGUCUGAUUAAUUAGUUGGUGAGGUAACGGCUCACCAAGAUAGCGAUCAGUAGCCGGCCUGAGGGGGUGAACGGCCACAUUGGAACUGAGAAACGGUCCAA
rnacentral:rRNA from 1 species